rnacentral:rRNA from 1 species
UACGGAGGGUGCGAGCGUUAUCCGGAAUUAUUGGGUUUAAAGGGUGCGUAGGCGGCUAUGUAAGUCAGGAGUGAAAGUUUGCGGCUCAACCGUAAAAUUGCUUUUGAUACUGCAUGGCUGGAAUUAGGAUGAGGUCAGCGGAAUGUGGCAUGUAGCGGUGAAAUGCAUAGAUAUGCCAUAGAACACCAAUUGCGAAGGCAGCUGGCUAGACCUGGAUUGACGCUGAGGCACGAAAGCGUGGGGAGCGAACAGG